ACUUGCAUGUUACUGCUUGAAGACUUCAGAUAUAUGAGAGGUUCUGUUAUUCUGUCCAUAACAGAAUACUUUGUUCAUUGACAUGCAGAUAAAAUUUGAAACUCAGGUUUGGGUAAUAUUCAUAAUUUACUUUGUUGAACUUUCUAUCAGUUUAAAUUAUGUGUUACAGUCUGAUGCAUAGGAAAAAUAAUACGGGUUAUUUAGUAGGGGAAAAAAGUGAGCUGUGUGACAUUUAAAGUACUGAUCAUGGGUGUGCAUUUAAAACAGGUGGUACCAGGAGAGACUGCACUGGCAUUUUAUAAAGCUAAGAAUCCUACUGACAAACCAGUCAUUGGAAUUUCUACAUACAAUGUUGUACCAUUUGAAGCUGGACAGUAUUUUAACAAAAUACAGUGUUUCUGUUUUGAAGAGCAAAGACUGAAUCCCCAAGAAGAAGUAGACAUGCCGGUGUUUUUCUACAUUGAUCCUGAAUUUGCAGAAGACCCAAGAAUGGUGAAUGUUGAUCUUAUCACGCUUUCUUACACAUUUUUUGAAGCAAAGGAAGGGCAUAAGCUGCCAGUCCCAGGUUAUAACUGAAGUAGUAUCCAAGUCCUGCUUCAGAUUUGUGAUUUUUGAAAAAUCAUGUAUCUUACAUUCUCAUUGGAGAAGUAUUCUACAGUGUGAAUUGAAAUUUUUUAAGUAGUUCUUUUAUUUCUUCCAGUGAAUUUACUUCACUCAGAUUUAACUUUUACCAUAAGAAACAAAUAAGCCUCAAUAAAGCAUGUGAUUGUUUGAUAUACCUAGGAACUUAACGGUUUAAAAUAAAGUUGGUGGAAACUGAA